rnacentral:rRNA from 1 species
UACAGAGGUCCCAAGCGUUGUUCGGAUUCACUGGGCGUAAAGGGUGCGUAGGUGGCAGGGUAAGUUUGAUGUGAAAUCUCCGGGCUUAACCCGGAAACUGCAUUGAAUACUAUCCUGCUCGAGGUUUGGAGGGGGGACUGGAAUUCUCGGUGUAGCAGUGAAAUGCGUAGAUAUCGAGAGGAACACCAGUGGCGAAGGCGGCUUGCCAGAACGCGCUCGACGGUGAGGGAUGAAAGCUGGGGGAGCAAACCGG